GCUGCCUCUUCUUCCAUUUCUCUGCAAGUCCCCUCUUCUCUUCUCUCUCAACAUUUUUCUGCCUCCGAAGAAAAAUUUCUUACCUCUCCAGAUCCAUCGGAUUUCUUACAAAAACUAACAGAUCUUCAUGAACACUACACCAUGAACCAGGAGGAAAAACCAUUUCCUUCUUCACUCCAGAUCUAUUUAUAUCAUUAUGUUCGAUAUAAAACCAUUUUCUUCAAUCUUAACUCAAAACCAUUCUUCUUAACCAUUUCCUUUUUCAUCUUUUUUGUUUGUGUGGUAUUAAUAGUUCUUCUUAUUGGAACUAAAGUUACGCUUUAAAUGAGUUUUUAGAAGACGAACAAUCAACCUCAGUUGGAUUUCUUGAACUUCUCCAGAUUCACCACCUCGGUGACGGUACUGAAUGCUACAAAUUCACCACAUGCAGUACCAAUUGCUACAUACCUCCGCGAUCGUUGACAAGAUCAGUCAAGAGCAGAGAAGCAUGAUGAAUUUGAUUUUAGGGGUUCUCAAGCACAACAACUUCGGGGAACCUUGGCUACUUCAUGAUUUCAAUGAGGAUUUCUAAGGGGAAGAACCGCGUCUUGUGAUUGUUAGUUAUAUGCGACCAUAGAUGAAUUUAAGUAAAGGAAUAUUCCCAACAAUGAAGCAAAUGCAAUUUCACCACCUGAUCCUGCAGCUGUGAAUGCAGUCAUGUAGAUAGCCUGAAACUGUUGCUUACUUCCGAUGAAGCUGACAGAAUUAUUGGUGAUCAUGCUGAAUAGUUUGCUACUUGCAUAGUGUAGAUUGUUGGGAUGCAGUGCCCUAUUUCUUUCUUUGCUGGAGGCUGGUUCCGCAAGAGUUAAAAGCCGAUAUCUGGAAGGGUUUGAGGUAACUCCCUGCUCACUGAUUUGUGAAAUCUAAGGAUAUCCAUCUACUUCUGCUAUGCAUCUAGGUUUUAUCUGCUUGUUGGUAUCAUGUUUUGCAACCUUCGCUGGUUCAUUUUAUUUUCUUCUUGUGAAGAUUCCUGAUGUAAAGAGAUGAAGCUGGAAUAAGCUAAUGAAUGUGAAUGGUAAAAGUCUGUCAUGAAUAUGAAUGGGAAAAUUCUGUAAUGAAUAUUCUGCAGAUUGGGAAAUAAGAAACUGCAGGCCUGUAAACUGAAAGUCCAGGCCCGUGAUAAUGGACCUGGACUAUCCAUUUUUUUUAA